AACGAACGCUGGCGGCAUGCCUAACAUAUGCAAGUCGAAUGAGACCUCCGGGUCUAGUGGCGAACGGGUGCGUAACGCGUGGGAACCUGCCCUUAGGUUCGGAAUAACUUCCCGAAAGGGGUGCUAAUACCGGAUAAUGUCUUCGGACCAAAGAUUUAUCGCCUUUGGAUGGGCCCGCGUUGGAUUAGCUAGUUGGUAGGGUAAAAGCCUACCAAGGCGACGAUCCAUAGCUGGUCUGAGAGGAUGAUCAGCCACACUGGGACUGAGACACGGCCCAGACUCCUACGGGAGGCAGCAGUGGGGAAUAUUGGACAAUGGGCGAAAGCCUGAUCCAGCAAUGCCGCGUGAGUGAUGAAGGCCUUAGGGUUGUAAAGCUCUUUUACCCGGGAUGAUAAUGACAGUACCGGGAGAAUAAGCUCCGGCUAACUCCGUG
rnacentral:rRNA from 1 species